UACAGAGGUCUCAAGCGUUGUUCGGAUUCAUUGGGCGUAAAGGGUGCGUAGGUGGCGGGGUAAGUCAGGUGUGAAAUUUCGGAGCUUAACUCCGAAACUGCAUUUGAUACUGCCUUGCUUGAGGACUGGAGAGGAGACUGGAAUUCACGGUGUAGCGGUGAAAUGCGCAGAUAUCAGGAGGAACACCGGUGGCGAAGGCGGGUCUCUGGGCCGAUACUGACGCUGAGGAGCGAAAGCGUGGGGAGCGAACAGG
rnacentral:rRNA from 1 species